AAAAAAAACCCCAUAAAAAUCUAGAAGAAGGAUAUAUGAUUUUCGGAUCUAUGGAGAAUUCUAUAUAUAUAAAACAAAAUUACAAACAGAAAUAGAAGAUGGUAAAUUGGUUCAUUGAGAUGAACAAAGUACCUGAUUUCUGAGUAAUCGAUUAAUGAUGUUGAGAAACCCAUCUUUGAGAUUUUACACAGUAGUCAUGGAGUUUUUGGAAGAGAGAAAGUGGAGAUGUGGAGAUCGUGGGGAUGAAAGAGAAAAUCGUUUGAGAAAGAAACAAAGUUAAAUAAAAACGACACAUAAAAAUCCUUCGUGAAAAUGAAAGAAUAAAAAAAUAGUAUUAAGCUGAUGUGUCAAUCACUGAAUGCAUCAGUUAUUGGAAAAGUGACUGCUGAUUUAGUAUAUUUAGAUAUCUCUAUCUACAUAACCUUUGAUAAAUGAAAAAUGUAUUUUUUUAAAUGAUGGGAAACUGAUCACCCGAAAAUACUACGAUUGAAUGUUUUACAAAUAGUCAUAAAAUAUUGGGAAAUUUGCAAAUCUAACACACAAAAAAAUUAUAAUUAAUAAAGUAGUAUCAAAACAAAAAAGAGAUGAUAUUCUUUAUAUUUUGUGUAUUAAUCACAAUUUUGCCCCCUUCCUCUUUCUUUCUCUUUCUUUCUCUUUCCCUCUCUCUCUCUUUCUCUCUCUCCCUCCCUUCCUCUCUCUUUCUCUCUUUCUCUCUUCCUCCCUCCCCCUCUCUCUCUUUCUCUCUCUCCCUUUCUCUCUCUCUAAAUCUCUCUCUCUUAAUGUCUCUUACUUCUAUUUUCUAUAUGUACUUUCUAUUCUAUUCUAACAAAAAAAAAUAUUACACAUAAUAAAAUUCAUAAUACAAUUAUCAUAUAUAUUAUUACACCAUUACCUCUACUACCAAGUCACCAUUAUCCUUAUCAGUGGCUCACUGCUAUAACCGUAUUGUCGUCACUACAAUCGUAUUGCCGUCACUACAACAGUUAACUUGCUUGUUUGGGUUUCCAAUAUUGUAUCUCUUAUGGUAUAGUUUUUUAAUGGGGAUCAUAUCGCUUUAACUCGGUAAUUUAAAUCGUCUAUGUUUUAUCUUUUACGAUUAUCGUAGCUAAUAUUGCAACCUAAACUACUAUCCCACCACCACUACCACCACUAUUACUUUAUUUAAUUUA
rnacentral:sRNA from 1 species